rnacentral:rRNA from 1 species
CCGACCCGCACGAAAGGCGUAACGAUUUGGGCACUGUCUCAACGAGAGACUCGGUGAAAUUUUAGUACCUGUGAAGAUGCAGGUUACCCGCGACAGGACGGAAAGACCCCAUGGAGCUUUACUGUAGUUUGAUAUUGAGUGUUUGUACCACAUGUACAGGAUAGGUAGGAGCCGAUGAGACCGGAACGCUAGUUUCGAGGAGGCGCUGGUGGGAUACUACCCUUGUGUUAUGAACCUCUAACCCGCACCACUAAUCGUGGUGGGAGACAGUGUCAGAUGGGCAGUUUGACUGGGGCGGUCGCCUCCUAAAAG